GUGGGGAAUCUUGCGCAAUGGGGGAAACCCUGACGCAGCGACGCCGCGUGGGUGAUGAAGGCCUUCGGGUCGUAAAGCCCUGUCGUAGGGAAAGAAUCGGUGAACGGCUAAUACCCGUCCACCCUGACGGUACCCUACAAGAAAGCACCGGCUAACUCCGUGCCAGCAGCCGCGGUAAUACGGAGGGUGCAAGCGUUGUUCGGAAUCACUGGGCGUAAAGCGCGUGUAGGCGGCCGACUAAGUCCGGUGUGAAAGCCCGGGGCUUACCCCCGGAAGUGCGCUGGAAACUGGUCGACUAGAGUAUGGGAGAGGGAAGUGGAAUUCCUGGUGUAGCGGUGAAAUGCGUAGAUAUCAGGAGGAACACCGGCGGCGAAGGCGGCUUCCUGGACCAAUACUGACGCUGAGACGCGAAAGCGUGGGGAGCAAACAGGAUUAGAUACCCCAGUAGUCC
rnacentral:rRNA from 1 species